CAAUGAUGAAUCCACUGAGCCUGCCGAAGUUGAUCCAACAAAGGCAAAACUGCGCAUCAAAACUGGAGUACGUCGAUCAGAAGACCAACGCCUUAUCGGCCACAUGCUUGGUGAAGAAGGUGAAUCCGAUUUUGAUAGUUCGAUGGAGUACAACGGAGGCGAAGAUUAUUCCGAUGAUUCUGACUUAAAUCUUGAGAACGAUCCAGCUGCAAACGUUGAGGCUCUGUAUAACUUUAGUGAAAAUGUGCCGGCUCGCAUUAAAUCAGCCAAACCAAAAGCUCAUCAAAGCGAUGAAGAUUUUUGAACACACACGGGAUUGAAGGGACGAAGAAGAGAAAGACAGGGGAUUCUCAGAUAACUCAGCAACCCACACUAGUGAUAUAGUUUGCCAUUAAACUAUUAUGAUUAUGUAAUUUGCAAUUUUUUAAAUUAAAAACAAAUGUAAAUUCAAAAAUGUCUCGAUUUAUUCAUAUUUAAACCACAUGGAAAUAAUGUCUUAAAUCCAAACCCUAGAGCAGAGAAGAGCAAAAUAAAAGCAAAUAAAACGAC